rnacentral:tRNA from 1 species
CGGGGCGUAGCUCAGCUUGGUUUAGAGCGCUAGACUGGGGGUCUAGAGGUCGCAAGUUCAAAUCUUGUCGCCCCGACUA